GCUUGCUCCACCGGGAAAAGAGGAGUGGCGAACGGGUGAGUAACACGUGGGUAACCUGCCCAUCAGAAGGGGAUAACACUUGGAAACAGGUGCUAAUACCGUAUAACAAUCGAAACCGCAUGGUUUCGUUUUGAAAGGCGCUUUACGGUGCCGCUGAUGGAUGGACCCGCGGUGCAUUAGCUAGUUGGUGAGGUAACGGCUCACCAAGGCCACGAUGCAUAGCCGACCUGAGAGGGUGAUCGGCCACAUUGGGACUGAGACACGGCCCAAACUCCUACGGGAGGCAGCAGUAGGGAAUCUUCGGCAAUGGACGAAAGUCUGACCGAGCAACGCCGCGUGAGUGAAGAAGGUUUUCGGAUCGUAAAACUCUGUUGUUAGAGAAGAACAAGGGUGAGAGUAACUGUUCACCCCUUGACGGUAUCUAACCAGAAAGCCACGGCUAACUACGUGCCAGCAGCCGCGGUAAUACGUAGGUGGCAAGCGUUGUCCGGAUUUAUUGGGCGUAAAGCGAGCGCAGGCGGUUUCUUAAGUCUGAUGUGAAAGCCCCCGGCUCAACCGGGGAGGGUCAUUGGAAACUGGGAGACUUGAGUGCAGAAGAGGAGAGUGGAAUUCCAUGUGUAGCGGUGAAAUGCGUAGAUAUAUGGAGGAACACCAGUGGCGAAGGCGGCUCUCUGGUCUGUAACUGACGCUGAGGCUCGAAAGCGUGGGGAGCAAACAGGAUUAGAUACCCUGGUAGUCCACGCCGUAAACGAUGAGUGCUAAGUGUUGGAGGGUUUCCGCCCUUCAGUGCUGCAGCUAACGCAUUAAGCACUCCGCCUGGGGAGUACGACCGCAAGGUUGAAACUCAAAGGAAUUGACGGGGGCCCGCACAAGCGGUGGAGCAUGUGGUUUAAUUCGAAGCAACGCGAAGAACCUUACCAGGUCUUGACAUCCUUUGACCACUCUAGAGAUAGAGCUUCCCCUUCGGGGGCAAAGUGACAGGUGGUGCAUGGUUGUCGUCAGCUCGUGUCGUGAGAUGUUGGGUUAAGUCCCGCAACGAGCGCAACCCUUAUUGUUAGUUGCCAUCAUUUAGUUGGGCACUCUAGCAAGACUGCCGGUGACAAACCGGAGGAAGGUGGGGAUGACGUCAAAUCAUCAUGCCCCUUAUGACCUGGGCUACACACGUGCUACAAUGGGAAGUACAACGAGUCGCGAAGUCGCGAGGCUAAGCUAAUCUCUUAAAGCUUCUCUCAGUUCGGAUUGUAGGCUGCAACUCGCCUACAUGAAGCCGGAAUCGCUAGUAAUCGCGGAUCAGCACGCCGCGGUGAAUACGUUCCCGGGCCUUGUACACACCGCCCGUCACACCACGAGAGUUUGUAACACCCGAAGUCGGUGAGGUAACCUUUUGGAGCCAGCCGCCUAAGGUGGGAUAGAUGAUUGGGGUGAAGUCGUAACAAGGUAGCCGUAUCGGAAGGUGCGGCUG
rnacentral:rRNA from 1 species